rnacentral:rRNA from 1 species
CUUACCUAUCAGAGGGGGAUAACCCGGCGAAAGUCGGACUAAUACCGCAUGAAGCAGGGGCCCCGCAUGGGGAUAUUUGCUAAAGAUUCAUCGCUGAUAGAUAGGCAUGCGUUCCAUUAGGCAGUUGGCGGGGUAACGGCCCACCAAGCCGACGAUGGAUAGGGGUUCUGAGAGGAAGGUCCCCCACAUUGGUACUGAGACACGGACCAAACUCCUACGGGAGGCAGCAGUGAGGAAUAUUGGUCAAUGGCCGAGAGGCUGAACCAGCCAAGUCGCGUGAGGGAUGAAGGUUCUAUGGAUCGUAAACCUCUUUUAUAAGGGAAUAAAGUGCGGGACGUGUCCCGUUUUGUAUGUACCUUAUGAAUAAGGAUCGGCUAACUCCGUGCCAGCAGCCGCGGUAAUACGGAGGAUCCGAGCGUUAUCCGGAUUUAUUGGGUUUAAAGGGUGCGUAGGCGGCCUUUUAAGUCAGCGGUGAAAGUCUGUGGCUCAACCAUAGAAUUGCCGUUGAAACUGGGGGGCUUGAGUAUGUUUGAGGCAGGCGGAAUGCGUGGUGUAGCGGUGAAAUGCAUAGAUAUCACGCAGAACCCCGAUUGCGAAGGCAGCCUGCCAAGCCAUGACUGACGCUGAUGCACGAAAGCGUGGGGAUCAAACAGGAUUAGAUACCCUGGUAGUCCACGCAGUAAACGAUGAUAAAUAGCUGUUUGCGAUACACUGUAAGCGGCACAG